UUGUUUUGUUUUUUUAACUUUCUGGUCAGUCUGUUUCUAGUCCACCUACCUGCCCAUUCUUGGCAGCCCCUAUCCAUCUAGCCCAUUUCAGAAUUAUGGGUCUUACUGAGGGUGGGCAGUACAACACUGCAGAAAGAUCAUUGGCUUCAGUCAAUAACCCCGUUUUGGAUCCUGGCUUUAUUCUCACCAGCAGUGUGACUUGAUCAAAUUGCCUGGCUGUGGCAGAGACUUAGAGGUAUUUCCCAACGUCCUUUCUCUCCUUCCUCUUACAUAACAGAGCCCGUGAGCCAACAAGUGUCUAGAAUAAAGACUAUAUUUCCUAGUUCCUGUAGUUCUGGUUGAGGGAGUACAUGCAGAAAUAAUUUGUGCACUUUCUAGGAAGGAUUCUUAAAGGGAAUUUGUUUUUUCUUUUCUCAUUUCAUGGGGAUGUAAUGCCGGAGAACCAGGAAUCAUCUUAAACUGCCAUGAAGGCCAUGCCUUAAGGACAGAAGAGCAGAAAGCUACAAGGAUCCUGGAACUCUGAUGAAUUUUUGAACUAUCAUACCCUGGACUGCUGUUGCUUUAAGCUUUCUGAAAUUGUGAAAUAGAACACACAUUUAGAAAAAUGCACAGUGAUAGAUGUACAGUGUAAUGAAUUAAGGUGCAGAGAUCUACGCUGGUGUUGUGGAACAGGCCAAGGGAUAUACAGUAUGCUUGCUCUCAUGGAGCUCACAGUCUUCUUCAGGAAGCCAAUGAUACAGGGGAAUUGAGGAGCAUUUAAGGGCAACUGUCUCAAAGUGAGGAGCUUUCCUUUGGCAGUGAAGGCCUGCACAUCAUGAUUCUUGAAAAUGAACUUGUUUCCUUGUGAAAGUGUGUGUGUUCUGAUUUCAACAUAUGUUUUAUUUGUUUUACUUUUGAUCACCAAAAGUCCCCCAAAUUAUAUGUAACAUAGGAUUUUGUUCACUGGUUCUAUAUUCAGCCACAGGAGGGGAUACUUUUAACUUAAAAGUAUCAAAAAUUCUAAUCUCCAUCAUUUAAAAAUCAUACUUUAGAAUCACAUUUUUCUGGGGCUCCUGGGUGGCUCAGUUGGUUAAGCAUCCGACUUCAGCUCAGGUCAUGAUCUCACAGCUUGUGAGUUCAAGACCCGCGUCGGGCUCUCUGCUGACAGCUCAGAGCCUGGAGCCUGCUUUGGAUUCUGUGUCUCCCUCU